GACAGAGGGUGCAAACGUUGUUCGGAAUUACUGGGCGUAAAGCGCGCGUAGGCGGCUUUGCAAGUCGGGUGUGAAAUCCCCAGGCUUAACCUGGGAACUGCAUUCGAGACUGCAUUGCUAGAGUAUGGGAGAGGGAAGUGGAAUUUCCGGUGUAGCGGUGAAAUGCGUAGAUAUCGGAAGGAACAUCAGUGGCGAAAGCGGCUACCUGGCCCAAUACUGACACUCAGGUGCGACAGCGUGGGGAGCAAACAGG
rnacentral:rRNA from 1 species